UUGACCUCGGAUCAGGUAGGAAUACCCGCUGAACUUAAGCAUAUCAAUAAGCGGAGGAAAAGAAACCAACAGGGAUUGCCCCAGUAACGGCGAGUGAAGCGGCAACAGCUCAAAUUUGAAAUCUGGCCUCGGCCCGAGUUGUAAUUUGCAGAGGAUGUUUCUGGCGCGGUGCCUUCUGAGUUCCCUGGAACGGGACGCCAUAGAGGGUGAGAGCCCCGUACGGUUGGACGCCUAGCCUGUGUGAAACUCCUUCGACGAGUCGAGUAGUUUGGGAAUGCUGCUCAAAAUGGGAGGUAUAUCUCUUCUAAAGCUAAAUAUUGGCCAGAGACCGAUAGCGCACAAGUAGAGUGAUCGAAAGAUGAAAAGCACCUUGAAAAGGGGGUUAAACAGCACGUGAAAUUGUUGAAAGGGAAGCGCCCAUGACCAGACUUGUGCCCGGCGGAUCACCCAGCGUUCUCGCUGGGGCACUCCGCCGGGUCCAGGCCAGCAUCGGUUUUCGCCGGGGGAUAAAGGCUCUGGGAACGUAGCUCCUCGGGAGUGUUAUAGCCCUCUGCGUAAUACCCUGGCGGGGACCGAGGUACGCGCUCCGCAAGGAUGCUGGCGUAAUGGUCAUCAGCGACCCGUCUUGAAACACGGAUCAAGGAGUCGUCCAUUAGAGCGAGCGUUUGGGUGUCAAACCCGCACGCGUAAUGAAAGUGAACGUAGGUGAGAGCUUCGGCGCAUCAUCGACCGAUCCUGAUGUCCUCGGAUGGAUUUGAGUAUGAGUUUUACUGGACGGACCCGAAAGAUGGUGAACUAUGCCUGUAUAGGGUGAAGCCAGAGGAAACUCUGGUGGAGGCUCGCAGCGGUUCUGACGUGCAAAUCGAUCGUCAAAUAUGGGCAUGGGGGCGAAAGACUAAUCGAACCAUCUAGUAGCUGGUUACCGCCGAAGUUUCCCUCAGGAUAGCAGUGUUGAUCUUCAGUUUUAUGAGGUAAAGCGAAUGAUUAGGGACUCGGGGGCGCUAUUUAGCCUUCAUCCAUUCUCAAACUUUAAAUAUGUAAGAAGCCCUUGUUACUUAGUUGAACGUGGGCAUUCGAAUGUACCAACACUAGUGGGCCAUUUUUGGUAAGCAGAACUGGCGAUGCGGGAUGAACCGAACGCGGGGUUAAGGUGCCGGAGUGGACGCUCAUCAGACACCA
rnacentral:rRNA from 1 species